GAACCUUACCGGGUCUUGACAUCCUUUGAAGCUUUUAGAGAUAGAAGUGUUCUCUUCGGAGACAAAGUGACAGGUGGUGCAUGGUCGUCGUCAGCUCGUGUCGUGAGAUGUUGGGUUAAGUCCCGCAACGAGCGCAACCCUUAUUGUUAGUUGCCAGCAUUCAGAUGGGCACUCUAGCGAGACUGCCGGUGACAAACCGGAGGAAGGCGGGGACGACGUCAGAUCAUCAUGCCCCUUAUGACCUGGGCUACACACGUGCUACAAUGGCGUAUACAACGAGUUGCCAACCCGCGAGGGUGAGCUAAUCUCUUAAAGUACGUCUCAGUUCGGAUUGUAGUCUGCAACUCGACUACAUGAAGUCGGAAUCGCUAGUAAUCGCGGAUCAGCACGCCGCGGUGAAUACGUUCCCGGGUCUUGUACACACCGCCU
rnacentral:rRNA from 1 species